GUAUUUUCUGGAGUUGCAGCUGAUUCACACUGGAGGUGUUGAAGGAAAAGAAGUGAGCUUCGUAAGGUACCUUCAAUUUCUACUGAUCUAGGUGAGCCCAGGUGUCAUAAGGCUAAUAAAGCAGCCCUAAGAACAACAGUCGGAGUUGCAGUUCUUGGUUGCCAGUGGCGCAUAUGAGGAAAGGAGCAGUGCAAGCUACCUCACACACCUCUGUCUAUGUACCUUUCUACAAUGUAAGAGGACCAUGUGCAGAAAGAAUAGCAAAUAUGAUAGGUGAUCAGCUUGGUUAACAGAGAAAUCUUUGAGCUAUUGGCCAUUGUCUUUGAAAACUCUUGGUGAUUGGGGGAGAUCCCAGACAACUAAAAAAAGGCAAAUACGGUGCCCGUCUUCAAGACGAGGAAGAAAAGGAGCUCCAGAGAACUAUAAACUAGUCAGCCUCAUCUCAAUCCCUGGAAAAAUCAUGGAGAGGAUACCCAAGGAAUCAAUUUUGAAGCAUUUG